CCUACGGGAGGCUGCAGUGAGGAAUAUUGGUCAAUGGACGAGAGUCUGAACCAGCCAAGUAGCGUGAAGGAUGACUGCCCUAUGGGUUGUAAACUUCUUUUAUAUGGGAAUAAAAUGUUCCACGUGUGGGAUUUUGUACGUACCAUAUGAAUAAGGAUCGGCUAACUCCGUGCCAGCAGCCGCGGUAAUACGGAGGAUCCGAGCGUUAUCCGGAUUUAUUGGGUUUAAAGGGAGCGUAGGUGGAUUGUUAAGUCAGUUGUGAAAGUUUGCGGCUCAACCGUAAAAUUGCGGUUGAAACUGGCAGUCUUGAGUACAGUAGAGGUGGGCGGAAUUCGUGGUGUAGCGGUGAAAUGCUUAGAUAUCACGAAGAACUCCGAUUGCGAAGGCAGUUCACUGGACUGCAACUGACACUGAGGCUCGAAAGUGUGGGUAUCAAACAGGAUUAGAUACCCCAGUAGUC
rnacentral:rRNA from 1 species